AGGCGCCCCUAAUGAAACUUUCUAUCUGCAUACUUGUAAGAAUCAUGCUUUCAAGAAAACAAGAUUUUACCAAAAAAGAUCUCUCCUUAACUGAGGUCUUGAAGAAGACAUGUAUCAUAGUUUUAUAAUCUCAGAGGAAGAAGAACCCUAAGAACUUAGGUGCAGUGGCAGAAGAGUCUCACAGUGUUGGCUCCACAGUCAGAUGGACUGCAUUUCAUUUCAGUCUCUGCUACUUAGUACUGGUGUGAAUUUGGUACUUGAGCAGAAAUAGGAAGAAGAGAAGAAUAUUCUUCAAUAUCCCUCCAGGAAGUAUAUCACAUCACAGCAGCCAAAAAAGCAAAAAAGUAAGAUUGUACUGGCUAA